rnacentral:rRNA from 1 species
GACGAACGCUGGCGGCGUGCCUAAUACAUGCAAGUCGAACGCAUUGGGGACGGGUGAGUAACACGUGGGUAACCUCCCAUCAGAGGGGAUAACACUUGGAAACAGUUGCUAAACCGAUACUGCUGGAUGGACCCGCGGUGCAUUAGCUAGUUGGUGAGGUAACGGCUCACCAAGGCCACGCUGCAUAGCGGACCUGAGAGGGUGAUCGGGACGACUGGGACGGAGAAACGGAACAGACUCCUAAGGGAGGCAGCAGUAGGGGAUCUGCGGCAAUGGACGAAAGUCUGACCGAGCAACGCCGCGUGAGUGAAGAAGGUUUUCGGAUCGUAAAACUCUAUUGUUAGAGAAGCGGUAUCUAAACAGAAGGCCACGGAUAACUACGUGCCAGCCGCAGCGGUAAUUC